ensembl:lncRNA
UUCUCCAGACCUUUGCUAGGGCAGCAGUGCUGCUAUGUACCCCCAUGGGACCACCUAGAUGUGUGGCAUUGUGCCCACCACAUCCCAGCACUGGGAUGUAAAUGCUCUGCCUGCUGCAGGCGCAGCACGUGCAAUGGGGAUAGAAUGCACUGCCAGGUCCUGCCCUGCUGCCAGGGACACACAACCCUGUGCUGUACUAAGCUGCAAGGACCCACUUCCACGGAUACUGCUCGGUCUCUAUUGAAUGCACACUAUGGAAUUUAAUCAGUGAAAUGAAUUUGCUAAUGAACUUGUUAAUGAGCUUGCCAUAUCUCAUAUUGUUCAUUUCUUCUGUUCUUUUUCUUUUUUAGUGGGAAGAAAGAAAGCUGCUGCUGUUUGGCGGCUUGUUGUUUGGGGUUUUUUUCUUCUUCGCUUUAGGCAAAUGAAAGGAAUAAGUUCACUUAUAAUUGCUUUCAUGUAAAGAAAAGUUAAUAGAAAUUUUAAUAACGGUAGCAGCUUAGGAGAGUUUGAGGCCAUGACACGUGCAGUGCAAUGGAGGCAGCUCCUGCAGCAGGCUGCAGCUGCCCAUUGCUAUGGCUCUGCUUGGGGCACAGGGGGAGAGCUCCGGGAGAAUUCAGAAGGGUUCAUUCUGCCCUGGUUUUGUGCAGCCCUGCGUGCCCAUUGCAUACACAGAACACCAUGUAGCAGCAGUGUGACCAUUAGUCACUAUGUCAAUGUACAUAAAAAGGAACAGGCUCAGUAAUAUAUAUGAUGAACUUUUACUGAUUGUCGUAUGUGCCCUUCUGAGCUCUUCCCCUCUGGGAUCCACAGCAUCAGCGCUUCCUUCCCUUUCUCUUGGGCAGCAGCAGCAGCAUUUCUGUCCUGCUGGUACUGCAGGCACCAUGGCUGUUUGCUUCUCCUGCCAGGCAGCAAGCCAGCACUGAGGUCAGACUAUUCCCAGGAUGGAUGCAAGGUCCUGGUGUCAGCACUGCUCUCAUCAGUGUUGCAUACAUCAGCUCAACUCCUGCAGCCUUCUUGCCUUCUGAGCCUCCCAUGCAUUGAGGCCACCACCUCCCAUGAGGAUGAAGGGGAGGAAGAGUGGGGUGCAACCAUGCACGCCCCAUUGGCAGAAGCACCUGGGGGUCUUCAUUGACCAACACUGUGAAGGGCACUGUUAUUGUGUGUGCACUGUCCUUGUAGACUCACCUCAGCAGUGAUCUCACACCACUGUGCACUUUCCUGGCACACUGACAAUCCCAGUGAGCAGCUGCAGUUCCAUGGUGGCUACAUUAAGAAUGUGACUUCUACAGCCAUCACUGCGGCCAUCAGCAGCGGAUGUCUGCCGUGCAGAGGGACGUGCGUGCCAACAGCAAGCACCUGGGCAUGGAAAGCUGGUUGCUGUUACUGUAAGUGAACCCUUCAGUUUGUAAGUGUGAGGAAACUGGAGAAGUUUAUGAAAGAAGAAAAAGGAUGGGGUACCGGGAGACAAAAGACUCAUCGCCUUGCAGGAAAGGGAUGAAUACAGGAGAAGAGGAGAUGGAUUGGAGCUCGUUUUGAAGGCAGAAGGAGCCAUCCCCAAGUCAGCUUCCUGCACUUCCAGUGACAUUUAUAGAAGUGAACAGAGGCUGCUGAGCUUUGCUUCUGUCAGUCUGCUCUUGGGAAACACUUCCUUGAAACUCCCUUUGCUCCCAGAAAAUGCAGCUGCCCGAUGGCCUGGGCCCUGUCAGCAUCCAGAUGUGGCACCGUCAGAAGGGAAGCAGCCCCCUCAGCCCAACGAUGCCCAGGACAACCCCAGGGCUGCAGCACCGCACACCCAGCGCGUGGCUCAGUGCAGCUCCUGUUGGGUUCUGACUCGGUGUGUGCAAGGCAAAUGAGAUGUGGAGGGGAAUCUGAACCCUGCCAACCUUUUUCAGCAAUCAGACUUUGGAUGGGAACAACUCCCUUUCUUUCCAUCUGUAAUCCAUAAGAGAGGAAACACCGAGGAAAUCCAUGCGUUCUGUUCCAGCCCUGAAGUGAGACACUCACAAGGACUGGCUUUGCAGGAGGAUGGUGAGGAACUGAAUAGCCCUGGGCACCAGGUGUGGUCCUUUAUUUGUAUGUACA